rnacentral:rRNA from 1 species
CAGCAGCCGCGGGAAUACAGAGGGUGCGAGCGUUAAUCGGAUUUACUGGGCGUAAAGCGUGCGUAGGCGGCUUCUUAAGUCGGAUGUGAAAUCCCUGAGCUUAACUUAGGAAUUGCAUUCGAUACUGGGAAGCUAGAGUAUGGGAGAGGAUGGUAGAAUUCCAGGUGUAGCGGUGAAAUGCGUAGAGAUCUGGAGGAAUGCCGAUGGCGAAGGCAGCCAUCUGGCCUAAUACUGACGCUGAGGUACGAAAGCAUGGGGAGCAAACAGGAUUAGAUACCCGAGUAGUCCCUGUCUCUUAUAC